CCUACGGGGAGCUGCAGUGGGGAAUAUUGCACAAUGGGGGAAACCCUGAUGCAGCGACGCCGCGUGAGUGAAGAAGUAAUUCGUUAUGUAAAGCUGUAUCAGCAGGGAAGAAAAUGACGGUACCUGAGUAUGAAGCCCCGGCUAACUACGUGCCAGCAGCGGCGGUAAUACGCAGGGGGCAAGCGUUAUCCGGAUUUACUGGGUGUAAAGGGAGCGUAGACGGCAGUGCAAGUCUGGAGUGAAAGGCGGGGGCUCAACCCCCGGACUGCUCUGGAAACUGUACGGCUGGAGAGCAGGAGGGGUAGGUGGAAUUCCUGGUGUAGCGGUGAAAUGCGUAGAUAUUA
rnacentral:rRNA from 1 species